GUGCUUACUUUGGCAGCACAGAUAAAAUUGGAACGAUAUAGAGAAGAUUAGCAUGGCCCCUUUGCAAGGAUGCCACACAAAUUCGUGAAGCCUUACAUAUUUUA